CGAUGAAGCCCAGCUUGCUGGGUGUCUUAGUGGCGAACGGGUGAGUAACACGUGAGUAACCUGCCCUUAACUCUGGGAUAAACCUGCGAAACUGGGUCUAAUACCGGAUAGGAGCGUCCACCGCGGUGGGGGGUGUUGGAAAGAUUUAUCGGUUUUGGAUGGACUCACGACCUAUCCCUUGUUGGUGAGGUAAUGGCUCACCAAGGCGAC
rnacentral:rRNA from 1 species